rnacentral:lncRNA from 1 species
GUUGCUGCGGCUAAUCCUUUCUUUAACGGCUUUUGUGCGAGUAAACCAUUUAGCGCCAAUUAAAACAUAAUUGCGGCAUUUCCUGAUUGCAAUCGGCGCGGUCUUAAAUCAUGUUUCACGGACCUGUCUGUAAAUCAUUCGAGCGGGUGGAGCCCCAAAAUCGCGACACAUUUACCGUAACUACAAAACGCGCGCGAAAACACUCACACUCACACACGCGGAACGAUGCUGUGGCGGGUAGAAUGGUUGCCAACGGGUAAAAUGGCUUCAAUCUGCGACGCACUUUAAUUUUAUUGCACUUUUGGCGUUGAUUAAAAACUCUGCCACACACCUGCACACAGCACACAACCCCAUUUUGGAGGGCGCCUCUUGAAAUUUUUGGUGUUGCCACAAAGGACGUAAAUUUUGUGCACAGCCUAACGGUACAAAUAUUCGCUACGCGUUCCGUUCA